rfam:Rat neuronal delayed rectifier K+ channel (K-V-4) mRNA, complete cds.
CUGGGCUAUGGAGACAUGUAUCCUCAGACGUGGUCUGGGAUGUUGGUGGGAGCACUGUGCGCCCUGGCUGGUGUGCUGACCAUUGCCAUGCCGGUGCCCGUCAUCGUGAACAAU